rnacentral:rRNA from 1 species
CCUACGGGAGGCAGCAGUGAGGAAUAUUGGUCAAUGGCCGGAAGGCUGAACCAGCCAUGCCGCGUGAAGGUCAGUGCCCUAUGGGCGUUAAACUUCUUUUGUGCGGGAGCAAUAAUGGUCACGUGUGGCCAGACGAGAGUACCGUACGAAUAAGCAUCGGCUAACUCCGUGCCAGCAGCCGCGGUAAUACGGGGGAUGCCAGCGUUAUCCGGAUUUAUUGGGUUUAAAGGGUGCGUACGCUGUGAGGUAAGUCAGCGGUGAAAUGCCCCCGCUCAACGGGGUGAAGUUCCAUUGAUACUGCCUUGCUGGAAUGCGGAUGCCGUGGGAGGAAUGUGUGGUGUAGCGGUGAAAGGCAUAGAUAUCACACAGAACACCGAUUGCGAAGGCAUCUCACGAAUCCGCGAUUGACGCUGAUGCACGAAAGCGUGGGUAUCAAACAGGAUUAGAUACCCGAGUAGUC